CCUACGGGCGGCAGCAGUGGGGAAUAUUGGGCAAUGGGCGCAAGCCUGACCCAGCAACGCCGCGUGAAGGAAGAAGGCUUUCGGGUUGUAAACUUCUGUUCUGAGGGACGAAGAAAGUGACGGUACCUCAGGAAUAAGCCACUGCUAACUACGUGCCAGCCGCCGCGGUAAUACGUAGGUGGCAAGCGUUAUACGGAUUUAUUGGGUGUAAAGGGCGUGUAGGCGGGCAAGCAAGUCAGAUGUGAAAACUCAGGGCUCAACCCUGAGCCUGCAUUUGAAACUGGUUUUCUUGAGUGCUGGAGAGGCAAUCGGAAUUCCGUGUGUAGCGGUGAAAUGCGUAGAGAUACGGAGGAACACCAGUGGCGAAGGCGGAUUGCUGGACAGUAACUGACGCUGAGGCGCGAAAGCGUGGGGAGCAAACAGGAUUAGAUACCCGGGUAGUC
rnacentral:rRNA from 1 species